GACGAACGCUGGCGGCGUGCCUAAUACAUGCAAGUAGAACGCUGAAGAGAGGAGCUUGCUCUUCUUGGAAGAGUUGCGAACGGGUGAGUAACGCGUAGGUAACCUGCCUUGUAGCGGGGGAUAACUAUUGGAAACGAUAGCUAAUACCGCAUAACAAUGGGUGACCCAUGUCAUUCAUUUGAAAGGGGCAACUGCUCCACUACAAGAUGGACCUGCGUCGUAUUAGCUAGUAGGUGAGGUAACGGCUCACCUAGGCGACGAUACAUAGCCGACCUGAGAGGGUGAUCGGCCACACUGGGACUGAGACACGGCCCAGACUCCUACGGGAGGCAGCAGUAGGGAAUCUUCGGCAAUGGGGGCAACCCUGACCGAGCAACGCCGCGUGAGUGAAGAAGGUUUUCGGAUCGUAAAGCUCUGUUGUAAGUCAAGAACGAGUGUGAGAGUGGAAAGUUCACACUGUGACGGUAGCUUACCAGAAAGGGACGGCUAACUACGUGCCAGCAGCCGCGGUAAUACGUAGGUCCCGAGCGUUGUCCGGAUUUAUUGGGCGUAAAGCGAGCGCAGGCGGUUUGAUAAGUCUGAAGUUAAAGGCUGUGGCUCAACCAUAGUUCGCUUUGGAAACUGUCAAACUUGAGUGCAGAAGGGGAGAGUGGAAUUCCAUGUGUAGCGGUGAAAUGCGUAGAUAUAUGGAGGAACACCGGUGGCGAAAGCGGCUCUCUGGUCUGUAACUGACGCUGAGGCUCGAAAGCGUGGGGAGCGAACAGG
rnacentral:rRNA from 1 species